GUGUUCCCUUCAGCAGCAUGGAUAUUAAAACUGUAACAACACAGAAAAGAUUAGCAUGGUUCUUGCUUGAGGAUAACAUGCAAAUUCAUAAAGCAUUCCAUGUUUUU